rnacentral:rRNA from 1 species
AGAGUUUGAUCAUGGCUCAGGACGAACGCUGGCGGCGUGCCUAAUACAUGCAAGUCGAGCGGGACUCUUCGGAGUCUAGCGGCGGACGGGUGAGUAACACGUGGGUAACCUGCCUGACAGAUCGGGAUAACGCUUGGAAACGAGUGCUAAUACCGGAUGACACUUUGGAACUCCUGUUCCUUAGUUGAAAGACGGUUUCG